rnacentral:lncRNA from 1 species
UCAUCAUCUUCAUUAUUAUCAUCCUGCAAAAUGGGAGAUGCUGAAGCUGGCCGUUUGUGGCUUAAAGCACCUUUAGCUGCAUUAGCCUUGGCAGGUAGAGAAGCAAAUGGAUAGAUGGAAUGUUUAGCUCGAGCGGGAGAAGAAGGAUUCCUAAUGGACACAGGGAUGACCAAAAUAGGAGAAGUAGAGGGAGUGCCUGGCUGGUGCAGUAAAUGGAAGGCACGAUUAGCAUCAGCUGCAAACAAUCGACAUUUUACUGAUGGCCAAAGCUGUUCAAAAAGAGGAUGGACAGUACAUCUAGAAUUGAAAGGGGCUAAUGAAAAUUUGCUCAUCAAAAGAAUGAUGCAAGCAUCUAUAGCUUGUGCCUUUGCCUUAUUAAUAGUGUGAAAGUGGUCUGUCAAAUUUUUGGAAUAAUAGGGAGGAACAGGCCAAGUUUGGCCAAAAUCAAGUUAGCGAGCAAAAAAUUGGGGAGCAUAUAUCUCAACCCCAACUUUGGCAUUGGUUCCAGUUAAGAUAUCAUGUAACAAUUCCCUCCUAAUCAAAAACUGAACCCAAACAAGCAGAGAGAUACUCGCACUGUCUAAAGUGGAUGGAGGUUACACAUAAUCUGGAGUCAAGUGAACAGGAAAAGGAAAGAAAGAAGGAAUCGAAUUUAAGGUAUAAAAGAAUGAAAAAAUGUCCCUACUAGACAUAUUUACAGGGGUCAGUGGAUUAAUGGCUAGCCUAUAAUAGCUAGUAGAACGAAGGGAAAUGGAUGGAGCACCAAGUGGUGGAAAAUAUGCUCUCAACCACAAUUGAGUGAACCAAAGGGGGCCACUGACAGUGGGAGAUGCACCCUUCUUCAGUUGAAACUGAAGGGAAGCAAUGCCUCUAUAAAGGGCGGCUAAAAAGAAGGAACAUAAGUUCAAAGGCCUACCAUGCGCUAAUUCAUGCGCUAUGGGUAAGUAGCUCAUAGAAAGUUUCAUACUUGGCACGCAAAGAAUAUAUUUACAGAGCCAAAUCUGAAGAAAGGCCACACGCUCAGCAUGAGAAGGUUCAGCGUUUGAGUGAUUAUAAAAGCCUUGCAGGCUUGAAUAGGACUCAGUAAGUUUCUUGUCAAAUUUCGAGGCAACACUAAAAAUCAAGAUACCAGGAAAGAUGGUAUCGCCCAAAGGCGGAAGAUUUACUAGGGCUCCAACAUCCCUUAAAGUAAUAGACAUGGGACCAAGAGGGAAAACGAAGGUGUUAUACUCAGAAGACCAAAAACUCAAAGCAAUAGGAAAAAGGACUGGGUCAAAAAUCGGGGGUUGAAGAGAAAUUUCUAAUAAAUCUGAAAUCUUAGCACGAUCAAAAAUCGUCUUGGUGGGGCCAUGACUUACAAGACGUGCAUGCCAUCUACGAAAUAUCACAUCAACUUUGAGCCAAGUGCGAAUACCUUUUUCGCGAAUCGACCUCAAUGGCAGAGAGUUCAGGAAUGGAGGACCUUGAGUGCAAGGAAACAGCUGACCCACCGCCACUUGCCCAACGACUUCGG